AUGUCGCGCUUUACAUCACUCUUUGCGACAGUCGUGCCUUACAUCACUCUUUACGACAGCAGCGCUUUAUGGCCCCUUUUACAACAGUCGCACUUUACGGCCGGUUUUGCGACAGUCGCUCUUUAUGGCCCCUUUUACGACAGUCGCACUUUAUGGCACCUUUUACGACACUUUAUGACAGUCGCGCUUUACGGCAGUUUUACGACAGUCGCGCUUUACGGCACAUUUUACGACAGUCGCGCUUUACAGCACCUUUUACGACAGUCGCGCUUUACGGCCCCUUUUAUGACAGUCGUGCUUUACGGCAGUUUUACGACAGUCGCGCUUUACGGCACAUUUUACGACAGUCGCGCUUUACAGCACCUUUUACGACAGUCGCGCUUUAUGGCAGUUUUACGACACUUUACGACAGUCGUGCUUUACGGCACCUUUUACGACACUUUACAACAGUCGCGCUUUACGGCAGUUUUACGUCUGUCGCACUUUACGGCAGUUUUACGACAGUCGCGCUUUACGGCACCUUUUACGACAGUCGCGCUUUACGGCAAUUUUACGACAGUCGCGCUUUACGGCACCUUUUACAACAGUCGCGUUUUACGGCUCAUUUUACGACACUUUACGACAGUCGCGCUUUACGGCAGUUUCACGACAGUCGCUCUUUACGGCCCCUUUUACGACAGUCGUCCUUUACGGCACCUUUUACUUGGAACAACACUGUCAAAAUUGCCCUCACUGAAUGCCUCCUCAAUUCCCAGAGGUAAAACUAAAUGUCUGGUCUGGGAGAUUGUAAGGAUUGGGUGUUUUGUUUUCUUGAUCUGAUAAAUGAUCAGAACACUUCAAAUCAUGGGCAACUGCUUCAUUCCAGCAAGUUUUAACCCCGCCCCUAAAAUUCAAGGUCUACAUUCAAGACACACUCCAAGCAAUGUACACUGAAGGUUAAGAAUUUAUCUAGCACUUUUGAAUAUAGUGUUUAAUGCACUGAAUUAAAAAUUCAAAUCAUACUAGGUUCCAGGCUGGGGCUCACAAACAUGUUGUGAUCACCAAGUACCAAACAUCAUUAAAACCUGUCAGGAGCACACUGAAGAUCAGGAGAACCCAGACAAUGUGAGAGACAAGAACACACUGCAGAGCCCAGCUGGCACAACCUGCAUUUCAGGAUCUGAGUCCUAACAUGCAACAAGGUUUCCCGUGUGUGCCAUUCCACAGUCAGUUCCUGACUUGUCCCACAGUACCUGGACCAUCCAUCGUCUGCAGUCCCAGAGAAAUGGGGUUUAAACUGAUACUUAUUUAAACUUUACUCCAUUUAAGCCAAAUACUCUGUAAAAUUUCUGAAAAAUUAACCACUUGCAUGUAAAAACUACACAAAUCUUCAUUCUGUAACUGACAACACAAAUAAUGUUUCAUUUGCACUCUAAAAAUUACAUUUCUGUACAGUAAAGCACAACUUAAACCCUUCUCAGGUAUUCAAGUCCUACCCAAGAAAGGAGAAUGAAAGUUAUUAUAAUCUGGCUAAAGCCAUGGAGAUUUAUGGAGAUACCUUAAACAGAGCUGUAACAAUUUGACAAAGGAGAGCACAUCCAAAUUUUGAGCCAUGCAGAAGGGAGUUCCCAGAGGUGCUGCUUGAGGUGUCUGCACAUGGAAUGACUGGACACCCAUCAUGGCAGAUUUUGUAUUACUGAACUUCUUGUACAAAAGCUGAUUUCAAAUAAAACAUUUAAUGAAAAACA
rnacentral:lncRNA from 1 species